UACAGGGGGGGGCAAGCGUUGUUCGGAAUUACUGGGCGUAAAGGGCCAGUAGGCGGCCAACUAAGUCACACGUGAAAUCCCCGGGCUUAACCUGGGAACUGCAUUUGGGACUGCAAGGCUCGAGUACGGCAGAGGGAGGUGGAAUUCCACGUGUAGCAGUGAAAUGCGUAGAGAUGUGGAGGAACACCGAUGGCGAAGGCAGCCUCCUGGGCCAGUACUGACGCUCAUGCACGAAAGCGUGGGGAGCAAACAGG
rnacentral:rRNA from 1 species